AUUUAAAUAGCUUAUAAAUAGAGUAUAAUAUUGAAGAUAUUAGGGAGAUUUUUUUUAAUCUUUAAAUA
rnacentral:tRNA from 1 species